rnacentral:rRNA from 1 species
AUCCACCUGUUCCCAUCUCGAACACAGUAGUUAAGCUCAUAAACGCCGAAAGUACUUGGCUGGAGACGGCCUGGGAGGAUAGGAAGCUGCUGAUU